rnacentral:rRNA from 1 species
GCCGCUCAGAAACUUAAGGAAUGACGGGGCCGCACAAGCGGUGGAGUAUGUGGUUUAAUUCGAUGCAACGCGAAGAACUUACCUGGUCUUGACAUCCCGGAGACCCUUAGGAAACUAGGGGUGCUUCCAUCUGGAAGAAUCUGGAGACAGGUGCUGCAUGGCUGUCGUCAGCUCGUGUCGUGAGAUGUUGGGUUAAGUCCCGCAACGAGCGCAACCCUUGCCUUUAGUUGCCAGCAGUUCGGCUGGGCACUCUAAAGGGACUGCCGGUGUUAAACCGGAGGAAGGUGGGGAUGACGUCAAGUCCUCAUGGCCUUUAUGACCAGGGCUACACACGUACUACAAUGGCCGAUACAAAGGGCAGCGACACUGCGAGGUGAAGCCAAUCCCGUAAAAUCGGUCUCAGUCCGGAUUGGAGUCUGCAACUCGACUCCAUGAAGUUGGAAUCGCUAGUAAUCGUGGAUCAGCAUGCCACGGUGAAUACGUUCCCGGGCCUU